rnacentral:misc_RNA from 1 species
AAUAAUUUUUCAUUUUGUAGAAAAUAAGAUCCAUUAUUAAUCUAACAAAUCACCAACACACAGAUGGAAACAAUAAUCACCGUCCUUAGUUCAUCACUCAGCAACAGGCGGCAGCUUCUGCAACCAAAAAAAUAAUUAAAAAAAAUUAUCUAAAAGUAACAAAAAAAAUGACAGGCAUCUGAACCCAAAACCAAAACUUGUUGAGAAGAGAUUC